CCCAUCCUCCACCCCCUGCCCCUUGCUGACCUCAUCACCCAGCCCUCUCCCCUCCCUCCUCCUGACAGCCGCCGGUGAGGUUCCCUCUGCCUGGAAGAUCUUCCCAGUCUCCCCAACCUCCCUCUGUCCCCUCCUCCAGGUCCCCGCACAGUCCCUUCUGCACAGGAGAGCGCCGUGGGUUUGCUGACCGCGUCCCUGCUGAAAGGCGACUCCGGGAGCACAGGCUUCUGCCCUCUCCUGAUGUCCCUAGCAGCGCCGGGCACGCAGCAGUGCUCGCUGGGUUUUUGUUGCACCUUUGAGAGGAAAAGGAGCUCGGUGUCCCCUGCAGCCCCUGGAAGUGAGGCGAAGAAGGCCAGGAUGGAGUUGGGUGGGCACCCGCCUGUGGUCGUACCCGGAUCGUGGAGGCCGCGGGCCCUGAACCCUAGACACUGGGCGGGACCCUCCCUCCAUUAUAAAAAAAAGUAAUAAAGCAAAAGCAUCUCGCGACUGCGCUGCCAUAAUGGCAAAUGUGUCGAAAUUAUACGCGAAAACAAUUGCUUCCCCCUGAGAGGGCAUUCUUCUGAUGCUAAUAGAAAUUGGGGGAG
rnacentral:lncRNA from 10 species